rnacentral:misc_RNA from 1 species
GUAACAAACAUUUCUCUUUCAUUCAAUGUUCUGAGUUCAAAUUGUGCCUAACUUGGACCUUUCCAGUUUACUGCUAAGGAUCACACAAUGAAAGUCCAGUUAUUCAUAUGGCUAUUCCAAAUCUACAUGUGGCACUGUGGUGUUUCUGUUGUCAUAUCAUAGAUACAGAAAAAAAUUUCUUUAUCCUCUAUCUGGGCCUGGAAUGCACUAAAUAGAAGGUUUUAAUAUGUAUGUUAGCUGAAUUGGAGCAUAAAUUAGGUUUUACUUGAUGCAGAUUCAAACAAAAAC